UCCCUGUGUUGCCCAGGGUGGUCUUGAACUCCUGACCUCAAGUGAUCCUCCUGUCUCAGCCUCCCAAAGUGGUUACAUGCAUCUAUCCAUGUGUUAAAAUCGGUAGAACUGAGGCCGGGUGCAGUGGCUCACACCUAUAAUCCCACCACUUUGGGAGGCCAAGGCAGGCCGAUUGCUUGAGCUCAGGAGUUCGAGACCAGCUUGGGCAAGGUGGUGAAACCCCGUCUCUACCAGAAAUACAAAAAUUAGCUGGGCAUGGUGGCUCACACUUGGGUAGUCCCAGCUACUUGGGAGGCUGAGGUGGGAGGAUUGUUGGAGCCUAGAAGGCGGAGGUUGCUGUGAGCCGAGAUCACACCACUGCACUCCAGCCUGGGCAACAGAGGGAGGAGACACUGUCUCAAAAAAAAAAAAGAAAAAAGAAACUGUAGAACUGUCCACCGAAAGAAAAAAGUCAAUUUUAAUGGAUGAUCAAUUUUUAAAGCGUUAUAAACAAAAGGAAAAGAGACACCAGCAAGCCUAGAAGCAUUUGAGCAGAACCUCCUAUCUCCUGCAUGUGUUACCUAUUGAAGAAAAAAUACAUAUAAUUUUAUAAAAAAAAAAAACCUUUAAAACUUUUUUCAAGACAUCUUGGAAACACAAGAGUUGCAAAUCUUGGCCGUGCGCAGCAGCUCACACAUGUGAUCCCAGCACUUUGGGAGGCUGAGGCAGGUGGCUCACCUGAGGUCAGGAGUUCGAGACCAGCCUGGCCAACAUGGUGAAACCCCAUCUCUACUGAAAAUACAAAAAUUAGCCAGGUAUGGUUGCAAACUCCUGUAGUCCCAUCUACUCCAGAGUCUGAGGCAGGAGGAUUGCUUGAACCAGGAGGUGGAGGUUGCAGUGAGCCGAGAUGGUGCCACUGCACUCCAGCCUGGGCUACAGAGCAAAAUUCCAUCUCAAAAAAAAAAAAAAAAAAUUGCAAAUCUUGAAGUAUAGGUGAGAGCACACAACAGUCCAAAUCAGCAGGUGACUUGCAAGCACACAGCAGCCACCUUCCUCCCCCUAAUGUGAAGGACAGUGGGGCGGCCGGCCCCUUGGGACCACCAUCUGGAAGGUGUCAUUUUUUCCCGUUAGUGGAGUGACAUUUAUAUACACUUAAUGUAUAUAAAUCUGUAUACAUUUAAUUUUUUUUUUUUGUAAGACAGGGUCUCGCUCUGUUGCCCAGGCUGGAGUGCAGUGGCGCGAUCUCGGCUCACUGCAACCUCCACCUUUCGGGUUAAAGCAGUUCUCAUGCCAGAUAAUUUUUGUGUUUUUAGUAGAAAUGAGGUUUUGCCACGUUGGCCAGGCUGCUCUUGAACUCCUGACCUCAAGUGCUUCACCUACCUCAGCCUCCUAAAGUGCUGGGAUUACAGGCGUGAGCCACUGCACCUGGCCUACAUUUUAAUUUUUUAAUUUUAGAGAUGAUUUCUAGUUUAUUCACUCUAAGAUCACUUAAUGGAUAUCUACUGUGUGCCAACAGUUUUGCCUUUUAUGUCUGUUCUUUAAAAUUGGCCCCAACUCAACAGAUGGCCUCAGAUGUAGGGUGGGUUGGCAGUGUGUUAGCUCAGGAGACUUACACCGUUUCCAGGCUCCUUGAGCGGCUAUGCUACAUUUUUGUGUGUAGUACUAAAUCCAUUUGUUUUUUUAAAACGGUUUUCAAAAGUUAAAUUCUAGCUCUUUUUGUUGUUGGAAGAAUCUGUCACGAAUCUUGACAAAUUGAGAUUUGCUGAUGGAAGAAGCAUAAGAACAUCGGAACUGCGACUCAGCAUGCAGAAGGUAAGAGCCUGGACU
rnacentral:lncRNA from 1 species